UGGAAAAGCACAUAGAAGUUGAUAUACUGUUGCAGCACAUUAAAAUAAGUUCACAUAGAAGUGAAAUAGUUUAAUCAGAAACAUAUUAUGGGGGUGGAAAAUGGACAUCUUGUCACACAGUGACAGGAAGAGAUAAGGGAUAAACUGCUGCAUUUUUCCUGUGAUAUCUAUUUAAAGUCAAGAGGUCUCCCAGAAGGACCCAGUCCUGGUGGAUGGAUACCGAGUGGCAGAGGUAUGGGAGGAUAUGAGCAACAGUUCACAGAGAGUCCUGCCAUGAAUGGAAAAUUGUAUUUAUCGUCCCACAAAGAAAUCUUCCACACCCUUUAUUCAGAAAGCCACCUGGGGGUAAAGUCAAUAUGGUGGCUUAGGAGCAGCAAAAGCCAAAACCUCUCUUACUAUCCACCCAUGCCAAUAGAGCUUCAAAAAGACUGAAAUUCAACCCCCCCAAAAAAAACAGAGCCACAGGACUCUCCUGCUGAACUCAACUUGAAAGGUAGGCAGAGAGAGUCAAUUUCUACAGUAUAAGGGAGAGAGUGGAUACUCCUCCCCCACCUACUAUGCUGAGACCUGUGAUCAGACACAUGUGGACUAUGGAAUUCACAGGCGGGGCUGCAACCCCAACAGAGCACCUCAGAUGCAUCAUGUGUUGUUCUUCAAGACUCUAACAGAGGCUGCUGGGGAGGAACAUAGCAAGGGGAGGAGGGGGUGGCAUCUGGUUAGGUGCCCUCAGUUUCCCCUACAGUGAAGAUUUGACCACAGAGUAGACAUGCCUGGCAGAUCAGCUCAACCAUUCUAAUUCAGAAUACCAGCAGAAGAGAGAGAAGACCAAAGACUCCCUCCAGGUCAGAGCAGCUCAAAUGCCCUGUUCCAGUAAACUAACAGAGGGAAUUUACAAUCUACAGGUGAGAAAAAAAUGAUUAAAAAAAAAGGAGGCAAUGACUGAAAUCUCCUACAAGGAUGAAGACCAAAGAAUAGAUCCAACAGAGGUCAAAGGAAUCCAAGAAACUUUAAGCAAAACCUCAGAAAAUCCAGGGAAUUGGUCUAAGGUUCAGGAAGUGAUCAAACAGGAAUUUAUAAGACAUAUUGAGAAAAAUUGGAAAAGAAAAGCAACAGCUUAAAAAGCAAAAUAAGUCAACUAGAAAGAGACACACAUGAAUCAAAAGAGUGUCUGAAAAGCCAGAAUUGACCAACUUGAAAAUUAGGCAAAAAGUCAAAAGAUAAAAAGAAUAAUUGGGAAAAAAAGAAUGGAGGAGUGGGAAAGAAAGAAAGAAAGAAGAAAGGUCAGUAUUAAAGAAGGAAGCCAAAAUGGAGGGGAAUAAACAGACAGUAAUUAUAACUAUUAAUAUAAAU
rnacentral:lncRNA from 1 species